AUCGCAUAUUUUACAUGUAAAAAGAUAUUAUUUAAAUACAUAUUCUAUUUAAAUACUAUUUGGAUCCAAAUUUACACCAUUGGCCUGUGAAAUCAAGGCCGUUGAGUGAACAUAGCUCCCGACUGUUGGAUCAAGAAAUAAAGGUCAUUAUUAAAAGAUAAUGAUUUUUAAAGUUAUGAUUUUUAUCAUAAUUAUCUUUUAAUAAUGAUUUAUUAUGAGAUGUAUAUCUUGAAGUAUAACAGCACGGCAUCAGAUAAAUGAGGUCACUUGGAAACUACUGAGGGGAUUGGAUUAUGGUCAGAUUAUUAUCCAUUUAAAUAUGGUGAUAAUUAAAAGUGAUUUUAAUAUUCAUAGGGUCAAGUUGCAUGCGACAAUGGGGUAAGGAAAUAGCUACUUUGGGUGAUGAUGAUGCGACAAGACCUAGAAAAGCUAGUUU
rnacentral:lncRNA from 1 species